CAACAUCUUUUCAUCUAAAGGACCACUUGCUAUCUUUUUCUCUAAUUCAAUGCUCUAAAAUUGUAGGUUAGUGAUUUUUAUUUUUUAGUUCUCUUAUCUUCUACUAAUGUGGUUCUGUGAAGGUGUGGCGAGGGUUGCUGGGCGAAGUCAAUGUUAUCGAGUAACGAAGUGACGUUGCUAGAUGCGGCGGAUUGAAGGGUUCACUAGGGUUCUUGACAGUGGGAAAUGAGAAAUGAAUGCGGUUGCGGAAGGACUUGAGGAGUUUUAGAGAGAUGAGCUACUGAAGGUUGAUGGCGAGGGGCAGCGUGUUAUGAAAAAUCAUGGGUAUUUUGGUAGUUUGGCCUUAGCUCUCCACGCUUUAAGUUUGAGUUCUGUGAUUUCAUUUGUUGGAGAAAGUUUAAAGCUUUAUAUUGCCGAUGGUUGUGUAGUUCUUUUCAAUUUGUAUGGUUGUGAUGAUACGGAAAUAAUGAGUUAAAGUUCAAAUUUUCCAAGAUUUUAGAGAAAAGGUGGGAGUCUCUCCUGCGUCAAGGGAGGAGUUAUUUGUUGUUGGUGAUGUUAUGCGCAACCAGAUUUUGAGAACAACCAAUAAGAUGCUUGCUUGAUCUCUAUGGAGUGGGGUUAUCUGUGCAUGUAAUUUUAUGCAUUGUUUCAUAAGUGGGGUUCAGUACCUAAUAUAUCCUUAAAUUUCUAAUGCUAUCGUUUAGACAAAUUAAUUGUUUAAUUGCUCUACCCAUGACCGCUAAUUGAUUUUGAGGUUCAAUGGAAGUAGAAUUCACAAGAAAUAUUGCUGAAUGAUUUUUUAAAAGUAGCCAUUGCAUGCGGAGGGACUUGCGGAGGAAGCUGAAGAUAAGCACCUAGAUAUUCUUUUGGCCAUUGUCGUUUCUUUUAUUCAUCAAGGAGAGCAAAGCUCCUCACUGUAAUUAAUUUUCGAGCCCCAAAUGGCAUCAAAUCCAGAUUCAUUCCAGAGUAUUGUCAUGUCAUCCAAAUAGAGCUUCAUGCUGCGGAUCAUUUAUGAAUGACAUUCUUUACUGCAACGCUUAUCAACAGUGAAUGACACUAUCUUGUUCUGCUAUACAACAUUCAAAGCACACGACCAGGAAAAAUAGGUUAUCGAUCAGCAAAUCAGCUUAUAUUGGACCUACCUAGCUACCUCGCUUGAACCUACCUAGCUUUGCAGAACAUCUUCCGCCCUAACAGAAACAUUUCUGUUCUCUGCUCUAUGACGAAUGCUUUUCAGAUUUCAGAUCUUCAGGAAGAAAAUCACGUAAAUAACCAGGCCAAGUUUACUCAUACAUGCACAUUUAGAACACAACAGAAGAACUGAAACCCACUUGAGGACAGGGUUGCAACUGAAA